AACUGGGAUUGCCCUAGUAACGGCGAGUGAAGCGGCAAUAGCUCAAAUUUGAAAUCUGGCUCCUUUUAGGGGUCCGAGUUGUAAUUUGCAGAGGGUGCUUUGGUGUUGGUGGCGGUCUAAGUUCCUUGGAACAGGACAUCGCAGAGGGUGAGAAUCCCGUUUGUGGUCGCCUACCUUCGCCGUGUAAAGCCCCUUCGACGAGUCGAGUUGUUUGGGAAUGCAGCUCUAAAUGGGAGGUAAAUUUCUUCUAAAGCUAAAUACUGGCCAGAGACCGAUAGCGCACAAGUAGAGUGAUCGAAAGAUGAAAAGCACUUUGGAAAGAGAGUCAAACAGCACGUGAAAUUGUUGAAAGGGAAGCGCUUGCAGCCAGACUUGCCCGUAGUUGCUCACCUAGGCUUUUGCCUGGGGCAUUCUUCUGCGGGCAGGCCAGCAUCAGUUUGGGCGGUCGGAUAAAGGUCUCUGUCACGUACCUUCCUUCGGGAAGGACUUAUAGGGGAGGCGAAAUGCGACCAGCCCGGACUGAGGUCCGCGCUUCGGCUAGGAUGCUGGCGUAAUGGCUGUAAGCGGCCCGUCUUGAAACACGGACCAAGGAGUCUAACAUCUAUGCGAGUGUUUGGGUGUCAAGCCCGAGCGCGUAAUGAAAGUGAACGGAGGUGGGAACCCUUUGGGUGCACCAUCGACCGAUCCUGAUGUCUUCGGAUGGAUUUGAGUAAGAGCAUAGCUGUUGGGACCCGAAAGAUGGUGAACUAUGCUUGAAUAGGGUGAAGCCAGAGGAAACUCUGGUGGAGGCUCGCAGCGGUUCUGACGUGCAAAUCGAUCGU
rnacentral:rRNA from 1 species